GUUCCUGUAGUGCAAUGGAUAGCGCUUUGGACUUCUAAUCCAAAGGUUGUGGGUUCGAAUCCCACCUGGGAUA
rnacentral:tRNA from 1 species